ensembl:lncRNA
AUGAACAACACAGAUCGUGAUGAACAUAACCAAAGCAACAUACAAUGUAGCUACAAUUUGCAACAGUCAUAUUUUACAUAUACUAACGGGUGUUAUGAAAAUAACAAUUCUACAUUUUCUUUAUUUUAUAAAAAUCAGAAUGAAAAAAAUGAAAAAAAAACAAAAGAAAAAAAGAUAAUAAACGAUUAUUUACAUUAUUUAGAACUGAAAAUAAACAAUGUGGUAAAUUUUAUAAAAAUAGAUGAAUAUAAUUUAUUAAAUAUAAAAAAAGAAUACAAAGAAUAUAUAAAUAGUAAAAACGUGACAUUAUUGUUAGACUAUUACAUAAGUAAUUUAUUUUAUCAUUUUAAAUAUAUUAGUAAAAAUAUAAAAAAUUACUAUUUGAAUUAUAAUAAAAUAAUAUAUCCUUUUAAUUUUGAUUUUCGUGCUAAUAAAAAUAUAUGUGAAAAAUGUAUUUUGAAAAAUAAUAAAAGAUGGCAACACAAUGGUUGUGCUGAGUGUUGUAGUAGUCAUAGUAACAUCCACAGUAGUAGUCAAGUAAUGCCUCAUAUUUUGUACUUAUGGUGCAAACGUGUAAAACUAUUAUUAAAUAUUUAUAAUAAUAAUAAAAAAAAAUAUAAACUAAAUAAUUGUUCAAAUAAACAUACGAAUAAUUCAAAUGGUUUGUUUUUUUGUGAUAAAAACAGUAGGUAUAGUAUAAAUGAAUGUAUGUACAACUUAACACAUGUUCUUUUUCGUAGUAAAGAUUAUAAUAUAUUUAAAAAUGUAUUGAAAUUUUCAAAUUGUGAUCAUUGUGUAAAUAAUUCUAAUAAUAUUGAUAAAAAAAAAAGUGAUAAAAAAAAAAGUGAUAAAACAAGUGUAAGCGAAAAAAAACGUAACACAUAUAAGGGUGGUAACACAUAUACGGGUGGUAACACAUAUACGGGUGGUAACACAUAUAUGGGUGGUAACACAUAUACGGGUGGUAACACAUAUACGGAUGGUAACACAUAUACGGGUGGUAACACAUAUACGGGUGGUAACACAUAUACGGGUGGUAACACAUAUACGGGUGGUAACACAUAUACGGGUGGUAAUAUAUAUACGGAUCCGUGUCAUGAUCAGAACACUUACAACACAUAUAAUAAACAAGGACAUAAUACAACGGGAGAAGAAACAACGAAUAUUUAUAAAAAUGUUAUGAACAAUUCAGAAUUAUUUGAUGAUAAUGUCACUGAUUUAUAUUUAAUAAAUUUAAUACAAUGUAAAAUUGAAGAAUAUUUUAAAAAUGUUCAGGUAAAAAAAAAUUUUGGAAUAUAAUAAAUGUAAAAUACUUAAUCGAAUUUGAUUAUAAAAAUGUGUGUAAGGACCUAAAUGACCGACUAACCAAUACAGAUUACGACUGUAGUGACAAUACUUAUGAUUUUAUUCAAAUUACUAAAAAAAAAAAAAAAAAAAACAGUGAAAAAAGAGAUGACACAAAAAAAAAAAUAGUAUAGUAAAAAACGAAAUAUAUGAAAAAACAGAGGUGAAAAAAAAUACAGUUGAAAACAAAUUACUAUAUAACAAUAACAAUAAUAAUUAUAUAUUUGAAAAAACAAAAGAAAAAAAUCAAAUUGUAAUAAAAGAUUUAUUUAACAAUACA